UACGAAGGGGGCUAGCGUUGUUCGGAAUUACUGGGCGUAAAGGGCGCGUAGGCGGUUUGUACAGUCAGACGUGAAAUUCCUGGGCUCAACCUGGGGGCUGCGUUUGAUACGUGCGGACUUGAGUUCGGAAGAGGGUCGUGGAAUUCCCAGUGUAGAGGUGAAAUUCGUAGAUAUUGGGAAGAACACCGGUGGCGAAGGCGGCGACCUGGUCCGAUACUGACGCUGAGGCGCGAAAGCGUGGGGAGCAAACAGG
rnacentral:rRNA from 1 species